rnacentral:rRNA from 1 species
AUUGAACGCUGGCGGCAGGCCUAACACAUGCAAGUCGAGCGGAUGAAGGGAGCUUGCUCCUGGAUUCAGCGGCGGACGGGUGAGUAAUGCCUAGGAAUCUGCCUGGUAGUGGGGGAUAACGUCCGGAAACGGGCGCUAAUACCGCAUACGUCCUGAGGGAGAAAGGGGGGGAUCUUCGGACCUCACGCUAUCAGAUGAGCCUAGGUCGGAUUAGCUAGUUGGUGAGGUAAAGGCCUACCAAGGCGACGAUCCGUAACUGGUCUGAGAGGAUGAUCAGUCACACUGGAACUGAGACACGGUCCAGACUCCUACGGGAGGCAGCAGUGGGGAAUAUUGGACAAUGGGCGAAAGCCUGAUCCAGCCAUGCCGCGUGUGUGAAGAAGGUCUUCGGAUUGUAAAGCACUUUAAGUUGGGAGGAAGGGCAGUAAGUUAAUACCUUGCUGUUUUGACGUUACCAAAAGAAUAAGCACCGGCUAACUUCGUG